rnacentral:rRNA from 1 species
CACGAUGUAGCAAUACAUUGGUGGCGACCGGCGCACGGGUGAGUAACGCGUAUGCAACCUACCUAUCAGAGGGGAAUAACCCGGCGAAAGUCGGACUAAUACCGCAUAAAACAGGGGUUCCACAUGGAAAUAUUUGUUAAAGAAUUAUCGCUGAUAGAUGGGCAUGCGUUCCAUUAGAUAGUUGGUGAGGUAACGGCUCACCAAGUCCACGAUGGAUAGGGGUUCUGAGAGGAAGGUCCCCCACACUGGUACUGAGACACGGACCAGGCUCCUACGGGAGGCAGCAGUGAGGAAUAUUGGUCAAUGGGCGAGAGCCUGAACCAGCCAAGUCGCGUGAAGGAUGAAGGAUCUAUGGUUUGUAAACUUCUUUUAUAUGGGAAUAAAGUGAGGAACGUGUUCCUUUUUGUAUGUACCAUAUGAAUAAGCAUCGGCUAACUCCGUGCCAGCAGCCGCGGUAAUACGGAGGAUGCGAGCGUUAUCCGGAUUUAUUGGGUUUAAAGGGUACGUAGGUGGUUAAUUAAGUCAGCGGUGAAAGUUUGUGGCUCAACCAUAAGAUUGCCGUUGAAACUGGUUGACUUGAGUAUAUUUGAGGUAGGCGGAAUGCGUGGUGAAGCGGUGAAAUGCAUAGAUAUCACGCAGAACUCCGAUUGCGAAGGCAGCUUACUAAACUAUAACUGACACUGAA